UGAAGAGGUUACAGAAAGUUCCUCCAAAGGAAGUCCAAGAGACGUUGAUGAUAAGUUACGAGGGAUUAGAACCAACGCAGCAGAAAGUUUUUCUAGACAUCGUGUGCUUUUUCAUCAAAGAAAAUAAUAAAUAUCCGAUAUUCAUGUGGAGCGAUUGUGAAUACUAACCUCAUGACGCAAUGAGAGUCCUCCUUCUUAGGUCCUUGAUAAAGAUUGGAGAUGAUAAUAAGUUUUCAAUGCAUGACCAAGUUAGGGAUCUUGGAAGACACAUUGUCUACGAAGAGAAUUGCAAAUUUCCUGGCAAGCGUAGCAGGGUAUGGAAUCCUGAGGAGGCAUUGAAUUUAUUGAGGAAUAAACAGGCAAGUGAAGAAAUAGAAGCACUGAGUCUGAGCUAUAAUGGUCAAAGUGAUGGUAGUGGCUAUACCUUCAUUGAUGAAGAAUUACAGAGACUACAGAGUCUAAGGGUCCUCCGAGGGAAAGGGUUGAAUUUUGUAGGGAACUUCAAAGAUCAUUGAGAGCUAAGAUGGCUUUCUUGGCAUGAGUGUCCUCUAAAUUUUACAGCGACGAAUUUUUGCCUAGUUAAUUUGGUGGUGCUCGACCUUUCCAGGAGUAAAAUUACUGAAAACUGGACUGGGUGGAGUCAAAUCAAGAUGGCGAAAAAGUUAAAAGUUUUAGAUUUGAGAAGCUGCAAUUGCUUGAGAAGCACACCUGACUUGUCUAACUUCAUGUAUCUGGAGAUAUUGAUUCUUGCUUGGUGUUCCAAGUUAGUCACCAUAGAUCGCUCCAUUAUUAACCUACAGAACUUGAGCACUCUGAAUAUGGAAGGAUGCAAUUCUCUUCAGGAUUGCCAGAAGAAGUUGGUUCUCUAAACUCUUUGACGGAGUUAAUCAUGCCCAAAAAUUCUCUACUGUGCAAGCUUCCGGAGACAAUUGGCAAUUUGCAAUUUUUGUCGAGUUUGAGUAUAAAAUGGAAUGAGACAAUAAGCAGACUCCCACACUCUAUUGGAGUACUAGUGAAAAUCAAGCAUUUGUCUAUAGAAGGUUGCAAAAGGAUUAAGGAGCUUCCGCACUCACUUGGGAAAUUAGAAUCGCUGAUUUACUUAGAUCUGUCAUUCUCAGGAGUAGUCAAUGUACCUGAUUCAAUCGCAAAUUUGAGGAAGCUCAAAUUCAUCAGGAUGGGAAACACCAAGAUAGGAAAGUUGCCUGAUGCCAUUGGGCAAUUGGAGAUGCUUGAAGAGUUACAUUGCCCAGAGUGUCAGCACCUAUCUGGUGAAAUCCCAUGUAGCAUUGGGGAAUUGUCCCAUUUAAGGAUCUUGAACGUAUCAGGCACUCGCAUCUCUGGAUUGCCAGCCACAAUGAAUCGUCUCCCUUGUCUUAAACAACUUGAGUUGAAGGAGUGCAAUGAGCUUUGACAAUUGCCGGAGCUUCCCUCGAGCUUGACAAGACUUACCCUUGAUGUUUAUCACUGUCAAAUCACUCCAGACCCUACGAAUCUAGUUAAUUUAGAACACUUAGACUUAUCGUUCCACAGGGAUUAUCUUGGGGGCACUGGCAAGUGGAAGGAACUUCUCUCACUUUGGAAAAACAUAAAAUCCAUCCACAGACUUCCAUCUAGCUUGUCAACCUUGAUACUUACCGAUAUCACACCGCUACCACAGUUUUCCAGCUUCAGGAACCUGUCAAAACUCUCCAUUUCUAGCUGCUCGAUGACGCAUUUUCCAGUUCUUGAACACCUGGAGAAUUUGAGGGAAUUGUCCAUAGAAAAAUGUGCAUCCCUCGUGGGAAUGCCUGAUCUAUCAAGCUUGAAGAAUCUGGAAACCUUGUAUCUAUCCGACUCACAAGAACUGGUAGAAGUACAAGGUCUGGGGGAAUUGGAAUCUCUGCAGUCCCUAAAGAUUACAUGUUGUGGGUCAAUAGAAAUAUUGCCCAACCUAUCAAUGCUGGAAAAGCUGAAGCAUUUCGAUCUGGAAUGUUGUCCCGGGCUAAUAUGCGUUGAAGGCCUAAGUGGCUUACAACGUUUGACACAUGUGACUGUUAAAGAUUGUGAGUCCCUGCAAAGUUUGCCAGAUUUGCCGAGAGGGACCAAGCUAGACACAGAUUGGGAAUCAGCAGAAACGUCGGACCCUUGUGUUUAUAUCAGUGGCUAGACCAAUCGGAGCCUUGGGAUCCACUCAUACAGGAGAUCAGGACACAAAGUCUGAAGAUUCCACAACGCAGCUCUUGCUAAGAGAUCUUUGGAUGGCAAUCUCCCGACCGGGAUGGUAACUGUCAUAUUCAGCAUUUCUUUUAGGUAAGGACAAGAAGUCUAUAGAACAGUGGAUAGUCCUAUAGCAUGAGGUGUCAAAUUGGAGAUUGUGUCCACAUCGUUUAAUAAAUAUAAAUUUGGCACUAAUUUUCUUGAUAUUCAUUUGUCUACAAUCAUAAAUGGCUAAAUGUCCUGUUUUUCUA